UCAAUAAGAAUGUGCGCAUGCCUAUUCCUCACUGUAAACCUAAUUUAUUCUGAUCAGUCUAGAUGCAAACGGAAUAUAGGCCAAGAAGAAAAAUGGAGGGUCUGCCACGUCAAUUCAUGCCAAUUUUAUUUCAAUUGUUUGGCCUAGUUUUUCUUUGUGGGUUAGUUGGAGGUGACCAAUUCAGAUGUGCUCUAUUUAGUCCGCAACUAUAUUGCCCACCGGCCGACCAACCACUGUACACACACUGCUGUUCGGGUGGCUGCUGCAUGGGCCGCGGAGAACACACAUGUGACGACAGCGGAGAUGCGGGACGAUAUUGCCCACAACCUAACGACUCUGCCGAUAAAACAGUUUGUUGCACUGUCACAGUAAAUGGUAUUUCCCAGCCAGGGUGUUGUUCGCUUUUCCUUGGACUGGCUACCUGGGCUAUAGUUCUGAUUGUUGUUGGCGUCGUGGUCCUUAUUGCCCUGUGUGUGACUUGCUGCUGUUGCUGCUGCGGCGUCUGUGCCAGAUCGGGAGGCGAUAAAACCGUUCUCAUAACUGGGAAUUCUCGUAUAUACACUUAGAAUUGAAAACACUGAGAUGACAUUUUUAAUUUUUCUACCAGAUGGAGUUAAAGGGCGGUUUGAAAAUAAGAACUGAAAAAGAACCUUUCAAGAAAAUUUCCAGUUAAAGUUUUUUAAAUAUAAAAUUGUUAUGUAAAUUACCCUUUAAUGUCUUAACUAUGAUUUUUACAUCUUGUCUUAUGUUUUGCUUUAACACUAAAGUAUUCUGAGGUUUAAGGAUUUUAAAAUUUUAUAAUAUAAAUUAUUAAUAUCAUUAAAGGAGGCUGUGGAGAUAUCAAUAUUCCGAAGCAAGUAAGUAUUGGUAAAAAGCAAUACUUACGAAUUGUAUCCGUUAAAUUUGAAACUUUGAAGAUUCAACGCAUAAGGGACAAUUCAACAAACUAUCUCUAACUGUCGUUAUCGGUCUUUCAAAUGACCGAAUCAACUUUGGUCGACUGGAUUAAGAUGGAAUUAGUUAAACCUAGAAGGGUUGAAUAUGCAAUUAGCUGGAGUUGGCCAUUCCGAAUAACCACUAGUCUGGGUUGAGACUUUUAUAUCAGUUUUUACGAAUUGAUUAUUGCCGCAGAGUAAUGUGUCAAAAAGGCGUUCCUCGUGUGUGCAGUCGUUUUAGACAUUUUUUUCAUAUUUAAUCUAAUUAUAAUUGUACAGAAGAAAUGUCAUUUAAGCCCAGCCAAUAAUGCGAUAUUCACUGUAAUCUACAUUAGGGCUUAUACUUGAUUGUUAGUAAAGAGCACCGUUUUAUACAAAUAAAUGUAAAUAAACCUUACUGACUUUGAUAAA